UACGUAGGGUGCAAGCGUUGUCCGGAAUUAUUGGGCGUAAAGAGCUCGUAGGCGGUUUGUCGCGUCUGCCGUGAAAAUCCGGGGCUCAACCCCGGACUUGCAGUGGGUACGGGCAGACUGGAGUGUGGUAGGGGAGACUGGAAUUCCUGGUGUAGCGGUGGAAUGCGCAGAUAUCAGGAGGAACACCGAUGGCGAAGGCAGGUCUCUGGGCCACUACUGACGCUGAGAAGCGAAAGCAUGGGGAGCGAACCGG
rnacentral:rRNA from 1 species